rnacentral:rRNA from 2 species
GCGCGAAACCUCCGCAAUGUGAGAAAUCGCGACGGGGGGAUCCCAAGUGCCAUUCUUAACGGGAUGGCUUUUCAUUAGUGUAAAGAGCUUUUGGAAUAAGAGCUGGGCAAGACCGGUGCCAGCCGCCGCGGUAACACCGGCAGCUCUAGUGGUAACAAUUUUUAUUGGGCCUAAAGCGUCCGUAGCCGGUUUAAUAAGUCUCUGGUGAAAUCCUGCAGCUUAACUGUGGGAAUUGCUGGAGAUACUAUUAGACUUGAGACCGGGAGAGGUUAGAGGUACUCCCAGGGUAGAGGUGAAAUUCUGUAAUCCUGGGAGGACCGCCUGUUGCGAAGGCGUCUAACUGGAACGGUUCUGACGGUGAGGGACGAAAGUUAGGGGCGCGAACCGG